CGGAACGGGUGAGUAACGCGUGGGUAACCUGCCUUAUACAGGGGGAGUAACAGUUAGAAAUGACUGCUAAUACCGCAUAAGCGCACAGGAUUGCAUGAUCUGGUGUGAAAAACUACCGGUGGUAUAAGAUGGACCCGCGUCUGAUUAGCUUGUUGGUGAGGUAACGGCCCACCAAGGCGACGAUCAGUAGCCGACCUGAGAGGGUGACCGGCCACAUUGGGACUGAGACACGGCCCAAACUCCUACGGGAGGCAGCAUG
rnacentral:rRNA from 1 species